rnacentral:rRNA from 1 species
UAUGAACGCUGGCGGCGUGCCUAAUACAUGCAAGUCGAGCGAACAGACGAGGAGCUUGCUCCUCUGACGUUAGCGGCGGACGGGUGAGUAACACGUGGAUAACCUACCUAUAAGACUGGGAUAACUUCGGGAAACCGGAGCUAAUACCGGAUAAUAUAUUGAACCGCAUGGUUCAAUAGUGAAAGACGGUUUUGCUGUCACUUAUAGAUGGAUCCGCGCCGCAUUAGCUAGUUGGUAAGGUAACGGCUUACCAAGGCAACGAGGCGUAGCCGACCUGAGAGGGUGAUCGGCCACACUGGAACUGAGACACGGUCCAGACUCCUACGGGAGGCAGCAGUAGGGAAUCUUCCGCAAUGGGCGAAAGCCUUACGGAGCAACGCCGCGUGAGUGAUGAAGGUCUUCGGAUCGUAAAACUCUGUUAUGAGGGAAGAACAAAUGUGUAAGUAACUAUGCACGUCUUGACGGUACCUAAUCAGAAAGCCACGGCUAACUACGUG